UGGACCCGCGGCGCAUUAGCUAGUUGGUGAGGUAACGGCUCACCAAGGCGACGAUGCGUAGCCGACCUGAGAGGGUGAUCGGCCACACUGGGACUGAGACACGGCCCAGACUCCUACGGGAGGCAGCAGUAGGGAAUCUUCCGCAAUGGACGAAAGUCUGACGGAGCAACGCCGCGUGAGUGAUGAAGGUUUCGGAUCGUAAACUCUGUUGUUAGGGAAGAACAAGUACCGUUCGAAUAGGGCGGUACCUUGAC
rnacentral:rRNA from 1 species